ACGCGAAGAACCUUACCCAGACUUGACAUGCAGAGGACGUGUUCAGAGAUGAGCAUUCCCUUCGGGGCCUUUGCACAGGUGCUGCAUGGCUGUCGUCAGCUCGUGCCGUGAGGUGUUGGGUUAAGUCCCGCAACGAGCGCAACCCUUAUUACUAGUUGCCAACACGUGAAGGUGGGAACUCUAGUGAGACUGCCUGGGUUAACCAGGAGGAAGGUGAGGAUGACGUCAAGUCCGCAUGGCCCUUAUGUCUGGGGCUACACACGUGCUACAAUGGUCGGUACAGAGGGCAGCCAAAUCGCAAGAUGGAGCAAAUCCCGAAAAGCCGAUCCCAGUUCAGAUUGUCGUCUGCAACUCGACGACAUGAAGUUGGAACUGCUAGUAAUGGCGGGUCAGCAACACCGCCGUGAAUACGUUCCCGGGUCUUGUACACACCG
rnacentral:rRNA from 1 species